rnacentral:lncRNA from 1 species
ACCUUCUGUCAGCAGGCUCUUGCCCACCCUGGGGCCUCCUUAUUAGCCAUCAUGUAGAAAGCAAAAAAGCUCUUCCAAGGAGCCAUCAGUCUCCUUGAUUACAGGGAAGGGAUAGUCCACUGGCGUUCACAGCUUUACAAUGGCAGAGAUCGUGAGAUCAAAGAGCAUGAACUGGAAGGGUCCUCACAGGUCACUGAGUACGAACCUGUCUUAGCCUUCAUUUCUUCAUCGAUAGUAUGAGGAUAAAAACAGCACCAAUCUCAGAGGGUUUUUAUAAGCAUCAACAAGAGAUGGAAAAAAAAACCCUGAGGCCCCAACUGAUUAAGUGAUUUGUCUAAGGAAACAAAGUAAAAAGUAACAGAGCCAGAAUCCAAACCCAGCUCUAGAUUCCAGAUUGAAGACUCUCUCCAUUGUUCUACAAGGACUAAACAAAUGCAAUGAUAUAUAAGGUAGAAGAACCAAUCAGCAGUUAAUGAUCUUCCCCGAAAAGAUCUUACCUUUAUGAGGACAGAGGACCAGCUGCCUUCUUGCAUAUUUACUCUGUAUAUAGCCGGUGCUCAGCUGGUCUUAAGAAAGCAGAUUUCAAUGGAGCCAAGGUGGAGGAGUAAAGACAGGCACUGACCAGAGCUCUCCCAAAUUCACCUCCAACAACUUUAAAAUAAUGCCUCAAAAGAAAAUCUGGGGAAGCAGAACCAACAAGAGGAUGAGAUGAAACAAUUUACCCAGUCAAAGACAACUUAAAAGGUUAGUAGAAAAUAUCUCUUUCACUUUGGUGAGAAUGGAGCACUGUCCAAUAGAAUACAUGU